ensembl:lncRNA
AGGCAAUCAGAUACGCCUCUAUCUCAGUGAGCAGAGGGAUAACUUUUAACAGAAAGGGAGGCAAGUUGGCCCCAUACAGUUUCCAGUUUGAGUUUUCUUUAGUGAUUUUUGGGGGCCCAAGAUAUUUUCCUUUCACGCUUCCCUUCUACUUUCCAUAGAGGGAAGUUGACAGGUUGGGAUCCCUGGGACCAGACUUUGGAAAGGAGAAAUGCAUGCAGAAGCUUCAGUAAGAAGUGUUCCUAGGAGGCAGACCUGUAAGGAAAUGAAGAAGGCAGGAAUGGGCAGAGAGAGAAGCUGGCUGGAAACCCAAUGGAGCCCGGACUGCCUUUCCUGUGAUGGAGUUUCACUCUUGUUGCCCAUGCUGGAGUGCAAUGGCACGAUCUCCACUCACCACAACCUCCGCCUCCUGGAUUCAAAUGAUUCUCUUGCUUCAGCCUCCCGAGUAGCUGGGAUUACAGUAUCUCUCAAGAUUGUCAUGAAAUUUGAAUGAGAUAACACUCAAAGUAUGCAGAACAGGGACUGGCAUCAUCCAACGGUCAAUAAAUGGAAGCUCUUAUUAAGGUAGUGAUUACUAUUUUUAUUUCAUGUAAGUAUUUGUGAAGGGAAGAUUUCUCAAGUAAAAUUGUUCCUUAAAGAAUACACACAUUUUAAAUUUUACCAGUAACUGACAAAGUUCCCUCAAAACACUGAUACCAAUUUACAUUCUCACAUAGUAAAAGAAGAGCUUUGCCCACAUCCAAAUACUAAAUACUGUCAACGUUUAUGUUUUCACUAGUUUGGGUGAAACCUGAUAAUUCAGUUUAAUUUGCAUUCUGUUUGUGAGUGAAUUAGGCAUCUUUUUAUGAUCAUUAUUAUUAGACGUUUGAUGCAGUGAGAUCCGUUCAGGUCCUUCCUUCAUUUUCUGUAUUGGGUUGUUUUCCUUUUCUCACUGAUUUGUAACAGCACCUUCUGUUUCAUGGGUGUUUACUCUCUGUCUCCAACUGCAAAUAUUUUCUCCGGUUCUCUCGAAGUCUUUUAACUUUGUUCGUGGAAUAUAUUUUCUGACUCUAAAAUUUUAUGUAUUCAAAUACACCACAUUUCCUUUUAUGAUUUCUGUAUUUGGGGCUUUUCCUAGGAAGGUCUUCCCCAUUGCAAUAUUUAUAAAAACAUUUCCCUAUUGUUUUAUUAUUUAGCAUACUAAUAGAGUUGUUUAAUAUAUCUGGAGUAUAUGUGUAUGUGCUUGUGAGAUAAAGCUCUGGGUUUUUAAUUUUGUGGCUCUCCAUUUGUACUAGAACACUGGUCAAAUGUUAGAGUUCUUCCUUUUAUUACAAUAAAAAAUGUUAUAUGUAAUCCCAGAAAUAAUACUAGGAGGCAAAAUCUGUAUAAGAUUCUACAAACAGACCAGGCACAAUGGCUCACACCUGUUAUCUCAGCACUGUGGGAGGCCAAGGCGGGCAGAUCACUUGAGGUCAGGAGUUCAAGACCAACCUGGCCAACAUGAUGAAACCUCGUCUCUACUAAAAAUACAAAAAUUACAGUGGCAACAAACCACCUUGCCAUGAAUGUACCUAGGCAACAAUCUUGCAUGAUCUGCACAUGUACCCCAAAAUCUAAAGUACAAUUCUAAAAAAAAAGAAAAAAGAUACAAAAAUUAGCCAGGCAUGGUGGCAGGCACCUGUAGUCCCAGCUACUGGAGAGGCCGAGGCAUGAAAAUCACUUGAAUUCGGGUGGCAGAAGUUGCAGUGAGCUGAGAUCGCACCACUGCACUCUAGGGGGAUAGAGUAAGACUCUGCCUAGAGAGAGAGAGAGAGAGAGAGAGAGAGAGAGAGAGAGAGAGAGAGAGAGAGAGAGAGAGAGAAAGGAAAGGCAGGGGAAGCGGAGGGGAAGAGAAGGGGAGGGGGAAGGAGAAGGGAAGGGGAAGGAAAGGGAAGGGAAGGGAAGGCAGGGUGGACAGGUCAGAAAGGCAGAAAGGCAAGAGAAAGGAAGAAAGAAAGAAAGAAAGAAAGGAAGAAAGAAAGAAAGAAAGAAAGAAAGAAAGAAAGAAAGAAAGAAAGAAAGAAAUAGAAAGAAGGAAGGAAGGAAAGAAAGAAAGAGGAAAGAAAGGAAGAAGAAGAAAGAAAGAAGAGAAAGAAAGAAAAAGAAAGAAGAAAGAAAAAAGAAAGAAAGAAAAGGAGAGAGAGGCAGGAAGGAAGGAAAGCAUUUUUUUUGUACAAAAUAUGAUUCAAUGUUUUUAGUCUCAAUCCCACUGAUAGAGAAAUUGAGGAUCAGAGAUUUUAAGCAACUUGAUUAAGGUCAUAAAGUUAAUGAGAGAUGUAUUUGAACCUGCUACGCAGAUCGUUUGACCCAGGUCACUCAUGCUUUUUACCAUCAACUAUUGUCAUGUGUGGUCCAAAGUAUAAUUAGAAAAAGAGAAAGGAAUUAGCUUCAAUAGGCAAUAUCAAAUAUUGAAUUAUGUUUGUUUAUAAUAUUUAAUCAACCAUCAUCACCUAGAGGUGUUAGCAAAAUAUAUCAUUAUUUUUGGCAGGUAAAAAGUAAAAUAGAGCCUGUUUCUGGUCCGGUGGGUCCAAGAGGAUGAAGCAAGGUGCCUGUCCCAAGGACCCCUGGGUAAAGGCGGAAUACGUCUACAGCUACAAAAGCUCAGACCUCACGUUUUUUUAUAGAAAGUGCCCACAGUGCCACAAUGGAAGGGUAGUGUCUAGAGCUAAUAGCAUCAGUUUCACCAGUGCCUCUUCCGUCCCCAACACAGAUAAGGACAGAGAUUACUACCAGGAGUCCUACAAGGACCGGUAGUGGUGAUCACACACUGAGGCUGAGCAGAAGAAGGACGUCAUCAAGAGAGACUGUGAUGAUCUUCAGACCAUCGUCCCCCACUGCCAGCAGCAGGACUUCUGUAUUGGCUCCCAAAAGCUCAGCAAAACCAUCGUUCUACAAAAGACCAUUGACUACACUCAUUUGCACAAGGAGAAGAAAACACAGGAGGAAGUGUCCACACUACGCUAGGACAUCGCAGCCCUAAAAAUCAUGAAAAUGAACGAUGAACAGAUGGUGGAGGCACACCAGGACAUCCCCAUGAGAGGGAGGACCAGGCCUCUGACCAAGUCAAGAUCAACGUGUUUUGAGGUAUCCUGGACUCACUGUUUUGUUCCUUCAACACCUUCGUCUCUGUGACCAACUUCCAGGAGCUGUCAGACUGUCUUCAGCUGGAUCGAGGAGCACUGUAAGCCACAGAUCACGGGAGAUUGUGAUUGGUGUCCAGCACCAAUUGAAAAACCAUCUUUACUGACCAUUUCUUGGAAACCUGCAGAAGAGCAAAUAUGAGGUUUUUCAGUCUCUAUUUGGCCAUUGAGCGGCUGGACCCUCUCACUUUGGGGUGAAAGGGGUGGGAUUAAAGGGUACAGAGAUACUCACAAGGUACACAGGCUCAGGAGAGUCCUGGGGGAAGCCUUGGGCUCCCUAGAUGCUGGUAGAUAAUAACCUCUCUCCUUCCGAGUCCUCCAACUUCACUUCUGCCUUCCUCAGGUUUCAUAACUGAGAGGAUUGGCUAUCCAGAGGAAAUUAAAUAUUUUUAUAUCCAAUAAAAUUACAAUAAUAUUGCCAGAUGCUUUCCUUUAAAAAAAGAAAAGAUGGCUGGUUGUGGUGGCUCACACCUGUAAUCCCAGCACUUCGGGAGGCUGAGGUGGGCAGAUCACCUAAGGUCAGGAGUUCGAGAUCAACCUGACCAACAUAGUGAAACUCCAUCUCCACUAAAAAUACAAAAAUUAGCUGGCUGUGAUUACAGUGUACACCUGUAGUUCCAGCUACCUGGGAAGCUGAGGUAGGAGAAUCACUUGAGGCAGAGGUUGCAGUGAGCAGAGAUCUUGCCACUGCACUCCAGCCUGGGCGACAGAGCAAGAUUCCAACAACAAAAAAUGGAUGCUCGUGUCUUAUUUUCUGUUUAUGAUUCUCAUGCCUUGAUAUCCCCUGAGAAAUGUAACCUUAUCUGGUGUAGAAAAAAAAAAUGACAAUGACCCAAACAUUCACUAAUUUAAUUUUUACUCUACGGCUUUAUGUUUUUAAAGUAUUAUCACAUUUAUUCAAAUCAGGAAUUGGCAAAUUGGCCUUUUCUAUGAAAAAUCAAAUAGUACAUAUUUCAGGCAGGGUGGAUGACAUAGCCUCUGUCACUACUCACCAAUUCCGCUGUUGUAACCGGAAAACAACCUGUAAGAGAAUAGGCUUGGCUGUGCUCUAAGACUUUAUUUACUGUGGUCAUAGUUUUCUGACCUCAGAUCUAAAUUAUCACAGGGCAUCUUCCAGUUCCUAAUGCAGGUAAUAAGGAAGGAGUGAACAAUAUGAAACAUCAAAUUUAAGGCACGAGAAUAAUUUUAAAGACCAAUUUCUCAGAGAACAAUGUGAUAAACAUUUUUCCUCCAUAUUUAUAAUUGAUAUGAAUAUCUUGGACUGACAGAUGAGUUCAAGAUAUAUUUUGAAAGAGAAG